rnacentral:rRNA from 1 species
CAGCCGCCGCGGGAAUACCGAGGGUGCGAGCGUUAAUCGGAUUUACUGGGCGUAAAGCGUGCGUAGGCGGCUUCUUAAGUCGGAUGUGAAAUCCCUGAGCUUAACUUAGGAAUUGCAUUCGAUACUGGGAAGCUAGAGUAUGGGAGAGGAUGGUAGAAUUCCAGGUGUAGCGGUGAAAUGCGUAGAGAUCUGGAGGAAUACCGAUGGCGAAGGCAGCCAUCUGGCCUAAUACUGACGCUGAGGUACGAAAGCAUGGGGAGCAAACAGGAUUAGAUACCCGGGUAGUCCCUGUCUCUUAUAC